UUGACCUCAAAUCGGG
rnacentral:rRNA from 17 species